rnacentral:tRNA from 1 species
GAGCCCUUAGCUCAGUUGGUUAGAGCGCACCCCUGAUAAGGGUGAGGUCGGUGGUUCGAGUCCACUGGGGCCCACCA